rnacentral:rRNA from 1 species
UGAGUAAUGUAUCGGAACGUGCCUAGUAGCGGGGGAUAACUACGACGAAAGCGUAGCUAAUACCGCAUACGCCCUACGGGGGAAAGCAGGGGAUCACAAGACCUUGCACUAUUAGAGCGGCCGAUAUCGGAUUAGCUAGUUGGUGGGGUAACGGCUCACCAAGGCAACAAUACGUAGCUGGUUUGAGAGGACGACCAGCCACACUGGGACUGAGACACGGCCCACACUCCUACAGGAGGCAGCAGUGGGGAAUUUUGGACAAUGGGGGAAACCCUGAUCCAGCCAUCCCGCGUGUGCGAUGAAAGCCUUCGGGUUGUCAAGCACUUUUGGCAGGAAAGAAACGUCAUGGGCUAAUACCCCGUGAAACUGACGGUACCUGCAGAAUGAGCACCGGCUAACUACGUGCCAGCAGCCGC